AAGAGCGCAGCGAAAUGCGAUACGUGGUGCGAAUUGCAGAAUCCCGUGAACCAUCGAGUUUUUGAACGCAAGUUGCGCCUGAGGCCAGCCGGCCGAGGGCACGUCCGCCUGGGCGUCAAGC
rnacentral:rRNA from 1 species